rnacentral:rRNA from 1 species
UACGUAGGGGGCAAGCGUUGUUCGGAAUUACUGGGCGUAAAGGGCGCGUAGGCGGCACAGCAAGUCGGGAGUGAAAGCCCGGGGCUCAACCCCGGAACGGCUUUCGAAACUGCUGAGCUAGAGUACAGAAGGGGCAACCGGAAUUCCCAGUGUAGCGGUGAGAUGCGUAGAUAUUGGGAAGAACACCUGAGGCGAAGGCGGGUUGCUGGGCUGAUACUGACGCUGAGGCGCGAAAGCCAGGGGAGCAAACGGG